rnacentral:scRNA from 1 species
GUUGAUCUUAAAGCAAACCUUCUAAGUUAAACCUUUGUCAACUG